rnacentral:tRNA from 1 species
GGGGGUAUAUCUCAGUGGAAGAGCAUUUGACUGUAGAUCAUUAUGUCCCCGGUUCAACCCCGGAUGCCCCCU